rnacentral:rRNA from 1 species
GACAGAGGGUGCGAACGUUGUUCGGAAUUACUGGGCGUAAAGCGCGCGUAGGCGGCUUUGCAAGUCGGGUGUGAAAUCCCCAGGCUUAACCUGGGAACUGCAUUCGAGACUGCAUUGCUAGAGUAUGGGAGAGGGAAGUGGAAUUUCCGGUGUAGCGGUGAAAUGCGUAGAUAUCGGAAGGAACAUCAGUGGCGAAAGCGACUUCCUGGACCAAUACUGACGCUCAUGUGCGAAAGCGUGGGGAGCAAACAGGG